rnacentral:lncRNA from 1 species
AUCCAGUGAGGUCGUAAGGUUCCCAAUCCAUGUGAACACACUGUUUCCAUCAUGUAGAAUGUAACAAUAUGACGAAUUUAAUGAUGAAGCCACCUAGUGAAAAGAUGGUAGAGAUGAAGCAGAUGAUAUGAAGAUACAAUCUUAAUUACAAACAAUUUAUGAUUAUGAACUUACUGCAUCAACUUGAAUUGCUUGCAUGUUUUCUGAUCCUGAGCCUUGAAUCCGGAAUAGCGCGAGUCCAGCUUCAGAGUAACUAUCAUCAUCCAGACCAUUUUCAGCAAUAAACUUCUUGUAUCCAGAGCUAAGACCACCCUGCAUUGAAAAUUCAGAGAGAAAAUAGAUGUUACGUGCAACUCGAAUUAUCUAUCUAACAACUUCAGAGUUCAGACUGUCAGAAGCAAACCUUAAACACUUGGAGACUCUGAAAUAUGACAAAGAACUGAAUUGGUUCUUUUCCUUCAUAGAGGCGAGCCUGCACACAAAUAAGAACAAAUUAGAGAGUGGAAACUAGAUUCACAUAUGAAAAAAAAAAAUGGGUUACCAUGGUAGCCUGGAAUUUUGCAGCCUGAACCAUCUUGCUAGCCAGUGAAAUUGCUGACGCCCUUUCCUCCUGAAAGCAACUAAGAUCAUCCGAAUGCAGAAAUUCACAUUUAACAUAGGCAGAUACACAAGUACUUGUCCAAAAAUCUGUUCUUGUCAAUGGAAAACAGGAAACGACUAGCAUUUUAUGAUUGCUAAUCUUCAGUUACUUUAGCUAACAAAUUCAGAACAGAUAUAAAUAUGCAUAUUAAUUCCAAACUCAUAUCUGGAUUUGGUUUUGCAUAUAGAUAGUACCUCAACACUCUUGUUUCCAAACCAUGUUCCAAUAAGACAUUCCUCUUUGUCCUCUCCAGUAUAUGUGUAUUGAAAAAUGUAGCAAUCUCCAGUGUAAAAUUUUGAUUGUUCAGCUGAUGCCAGAAGAGUCUUCGCAUUUCCAUUUACACGCCAGACCUGAUGCCAAGAUGUAGAAUACAAAACCACCAUCAAACACGGACCAAGAUAAAAUGGAUGGAUGCUGUUAUGCAAAGAAUUUUUUGUUGGAGGGGAGCAUUAAUGAUAAAUGAGUGCAGAUCAAUGGCAUGGCUGAGUUUUAGGGAGUUACAAGAUGACUAAUUUGCAUGUGGACUAUUCAAAGAUACCUAGCAGACUAGCACCUUAAAAUGUGUAGGCACAAGACAGAUUACCAGUAACCAUUACUCGCACAAUACAAAUCCAUAAGAAGUCAUCGAAAAGAAUACCUGUAAAUUACCAGUGCAGUCAAUAUAAGGCUCGGGUUCUUCCUUUACAUCUGCACUUUUCAUCAAGCCCUUGACAUCUAAUCCUUGAUUUUUGAGGAGAGCUGUAUGAAGAAAAUAAAAGAUAAAUAUGAGUGAUCAAGUGAACCUUCUAGCAAUCCACUUAUCAAAACUGAUAAUUUGUAGAGAAUAACCUGCAACUUUGCCUCUUCCAUCCUCAGAUGACAAUUUCAAAUCAGGAGUUGGUGGCCACUCAUUAAAUUUUGACUUGAAUACUACUGUUUCGUAUCCCUCUAUCAUUUUCAUAACAUGUGAUUUUGUUCGGCUAUCAUCAGUGAGCAAUUUCUGUACAAAAGUAAAGCAUACUAAGCACGGAGCAACACAAAAUAUAAAACAUGAGCAUGCUUUGAUUUAGGAUUUCAAAAAUAUUUCCAGCGAAUACUAUAUAAUAUUUCACCGAAGUAGUACCUUUUCUAAAAUCAGUUGAAUAUAAAAUGUAUUGUUUUUCAUUCAGAGACGGAAAUAAGUAAACAUUAAGAAAGAGCAUGUAUUAAUGCAUCCAAGUAGCUCCAGAAUAUGAUCAAACUUCUCUGCAAAACUAUAUUUGACUGAUGGGAAUCAACUCGACGUAUUACAGUAUCAGCUAGCAAGUGAGAGUAACAUUCAAAAAAAUGUGAAGAGCUCUCAAGUAGACAUGCACCCAAAAAGUUCCUAGAACUCAACCCAGGUGGGUGAGGAGGUUAAGCAGCCUCCCCCUAUCACCAGGUCACUGUCAUGUUCCCAGUUAGUGAAAAAAAAUACAUUCUAAUCAUCAGAGCCUUCAGGCUUGUAUAAUAUUUUUGCAUAGAUGUAUUUAAUAAGUAGAAUCAAUCUAGGCAUACGAGUUACCUCGGCAGCUUCACUUGCACCUUUCCUCUGUUUCAAAGAAGUACUUCUGCCCAUCCAAACAUACAUUUCACCACCACAAUCUAACAAGUAGCAUUUGUUUGUCUCAAGCAAAUCAUGCGUCAAGGAUUCAAAACUAAUAGGCUCCGGCUGUCCUUGAUUAAAACUGAGAAGUCAUAAAAAUCGGCUAUUCAGUUCGACAUUUUCAAGAGUUAAUAUAUCUCAUACUCAUGGAUGAGAUGUCGAUAGCAAAUUACUCUUAUUGACUACUGAUGCUCAUGUGCUAUGGGUAUUUAAUGGUAAUCAAUUACCAUAGCAAUUUCGCCACAGCUUCCAUGUCUUCCCCAGUCUGCUCUGAAGGUAUCUUCCUCGGAAGAGGAGCAAAGCCACCAAACAAAGCCCAAAAUUCACCAGCCUCGGCGUCAGCCAUCAACUUUCCAUCCUCUACAGUGGACUCCCACUUGUCAGAUCUUGUAAACGUGAUUUGAAAUACUCAAGGCAUAUUAUCAGAGUUACUUACCAACAGCUGCGACUUCACACUUCCCCUCAUGGAAAGUAUCUUUGAUAUACUGCACAACUUCAAGAGCUUUUGCUCUCUCUUGAAUACAUGAGUUGGAGCCAUUGAAUUGGAAAAUUUUGGACUUGGUAUCCAAAAUAAAUAUGUCGUCGUGGUUGAGGGAAGAACGAGCAAAAGGAACCUGGUUCAUGAAGUAGCAAGCACAAUCAAGAAAUGAACUAACCAUAAGCAUAAAAGGACAGUGAUUUAGAUAGCUUACCUCCUUAACAUGAACAGCAUGCUUUCCUCUGCACACAUAUAACCGGGUAACGUGGUCCUGCUCAUUGACUUCUACGUGAUUGAACCCAGAAGCUACCCCUCCUGGUUGUGGCAUGAUGCAUGGUCUAAAAUAUGAGAGUAACUUUUCAGUUUCAUUGCCUUGCAAUUCCCGGUACUGAACAGCACGCCCUCCAAGGGCAGCAUCAAGCUCCACAGUUAAAAUCGCAGCAGUUCCAGCUUCAUCCUUCAUGGACAAAUAUUAAGCAAGUUGGUGAACUGUUACGUGACACAAGGCCUGGGUAGCCGCUCAGAAUAGCUAACUCGUGUGGUGCAUUGCCAAAUAAUUUGAGAAUAUACCUGACUAGUAUCUUUACCAAGCCAAUAAUGGAUGUCAUGGCGGAAGGAACCCUUCUUCAAGGCUGAUGUCUGUAGGGAGAGAAAAGAACAUGAGAGCUGAGUUCGAGGCAUAUACAAACUGAACAUCAGAUGAAAUAAGUGUAUUGUGAACUUUUGCAACUAUACACCGAAAAAAUGUAUGCAUAACAAGGCAUAGAUACGUCCGUACCUUUAGUAUGAUAUAUGAAUCACCCAUGUAAAAUUUUCCAUAUGAAGAUGCCGGUGCAGGAACUGGCUUGAAAUUUUCAAUACGCCAUACCUCCAAACCGCUGAAUCGUGAUUAAGGAGUACUAUGUAUGUAUAUGACACUCCUAUGAACACUACUUAUAAGGGGAUAAAUGAAACAAAGGAAAUUUGAAAGGAAAAAAUCAGCAUUCUUUAUCACAUUUAUUUACUACAGUUUGCUUGAUGUUUGCAAGAUUCAUCAUCCAUAAUGUUUUUUUACUCAGCGUCCAAUGCAGUGUAUCGCCAUUUUUUGCUUCUUCUGUAUAAUACAGAAAAGCUUGUGCAUGUUCAUAUUGAUAAGAACACAACGACAUGACCACUAUGCAAAAAUCAUUUUCCCUACUAAACAAUGAGCGCUGGUACAUGAUAGGCCUUGUAAUUCAUGUUGAUAAAUGGUAAUAACUGAAUUAUGGUGCUAGCAUGUUGUAGGCUUGUAUCAUUUUAACAAUGAAAGAACUAUGACUUAUGGCAAACCCUUAAGAUAUUUAAAUAAGCAUUACUUGCUGUGCACAUAUUUCAUAUUCGAAAUAGAAAUGCCUAAGAAGUGACCCGUUAUGAUAUUAAUUAAUCCAGCACUUAAAGCAGGUUCAGGUUACUGAAGAAUGGUCAUAAAUUCAUAAGAGGUGCUUAACAACUUCACUGUUACCAACAGUUUUAUCCCAUGAUAACAAAAUACCUAAACCAUUUUGUCUUGUUCCCCGACCGGGAGAACAGUCCUGGUCUCUCGUACAUACAACUUUAAACUUUAAAUAUCCAAGCCACGAAAGUUCGCAGAAAUGGCGACGAUUGAAGCCAUGAUGAUAAAAAGGAUACUCCUUCUGUCCAGCCCCGCGGAAAGCCGGAUCCAAAUCCUUCAUAGAAACGGACAUGAUGGACGGACGUUGCCGAAGAACCCUCGGAUCAAAGUGGCGCUGGCGCUACGCUGCAAACAGGUAACAGGAAAUUUAUCAUCCGUACUGCUAACGCAGCCGAUCACUCGCCACGAGAAUCCACGGCGAUACAAGCGUCCCCCCCGAAUUCAGCAAUCCACCCAAUCCCGGCACCCCCGGCAUAAGAAGGCGUAAUCCCCCAGUUCGCCACAACGAUCGGCGGAAAGAACCCGUGCGUGUAGCCGGGGCGAAAUCCGCAGAGGGCGCGCAUUGAUUCGGAGAGGGAGGGAGGGAANCUGUAUCACAAUUCACAAAUCACUCCGCUUGUCCUUUCCCGAAAACGCUCCCUCGUUUUAAAAUACUAUACAGUAUAAUAUGGUGUGUGCUGAUGAUUUUCAAAAGUUCACGUUUUAAUGUUCCAAUCAAGUUUAUAUUAAAAAAAUGUCAGCAUUUAAAUACCAAAUCAAUAAAGCAUAAAUAUACAUUUCAUGGCGAGGUUGAUGAUACUGAGUUGAUAUCGUAAAUAAAGCAUAAAUAUAUUUUUUUUAAGUCACACCUUACAAACUUUAAUCAAGUUUGUGAAGAAAUACAUUUACAUCUACUCCCUCUCUUCCCUUUUUAGAGAUUUUAUUAGAAGACUACAUAUAGAGCAAAAUAAGUGAAUUUAUACUUUAAAAUAUGUAUAUAUACAUUCGUAUGUAGUCUCGUAGUGAAACAUCUAAAAAGACCUAUACUCCCUCCAUCCAAAAAUAUUUGUCAUAGAAAUUGAUCUAUCUAGGUGUAUUUUAGUUUUUGAUACAUCCAUUUGUAUCCAUUUGUGCGACAAGUAUUUUCAGACGGAGGGGGAUUAUAAUGCUAUACAUAUAUCAUUAGAUGUGAUUUCAUAUUUUACAUACAAAUAGAUUUAUCUAUGAACUUGGUCAAAGUUUACAAAGAUUAAAUUUUAAAAAAAAUUUAUACACACUAUAUUAUGAAAUGGAGAGAGUAAUAUAAAAACUUACUACUCUCUUCGAUUUAUUUAUUUAUUUUCUUAAAUUUGUCUACGUACAAGUGUAUCUAACACUAAAACAUGCCCCAUAUUAUUUGUCUUAGAAUUGUCUAGACAUAAAUGUAUCUAACAGUAAAACGUGUCUAGAUAUAUUUGUAUUUAGAUAAAUCUAAGACAAAUAAUAUGUAUCGGACGGAGUAAGACAAAAUUUGAUGCAUAUUUGAAAUAUUUUACGUAGAUAUUUAGACAACUGAACCAAAUUUUUGACUAGACUUACUAAGCCACUCGCUAUUCGUCUCAUUCUCUAGCCUCCCCAAUCCGAUUUGUCAGUCCUUCAAUCAUAGGAUCCUGCCACACACCGUUGCCAUCGUCGUGGUCCUCAACGUCGCUUGAGAGAUCGAUGACAUGCGUUGCAUCGGUCGUGUACUGCUCGUACAGCCGAUGAUAGCUCCUCCUCGAUGUACUCCAGGUAGCGGCAUUGGAGCUCCGCCAUGUAGUCCUCGUCGACGCGGGGCCCCUUUAAAAGCGCGCAUGCUUUCUUGGUGGUUUUGAUAAUUUAUGACAACAUACAUUGUCUCCUGGACUAAUACUUUUACCUAAUAUAUUUUAGAUAUAGUCCACAAAAGGAUUGACUAAGGAUUGCGAGGAGAAGCCCCAAGGAAGGAAAGGAAUAUGAUUGACCAAGCUUCAAGAUUGAAGACUCUGCAUUUUAUAUUUUGUGAGAAAUCAUAUUUGAGUCCAUAGAAAAACCAAUACUAUUAAAAAAGGGAUGAGGUGACCAUGAUGAUAUGGUUGCUCAAGUGCUGGUUGUGCCCCCCAGAUUCCCGGUACUUGGCCGGGGCCCUAACUCUAGCCAGAUGUUCGGGGCCUUGGCCAGAUGUCCGGACCGUGUAUAUUGACACUGUUUUCUCUUUGUUUGUGUGCACACUUCACAAAUGCCGGAUGUCCGACCCUUGGCCCAGAUGUCCAGCCUGACCCAACCAAUGACAUAUUUCUUAGAAUAUGUCAAAAAAUUUCUUUUAAAUUUUGUAUAUUUUAUUAAUUUUACUGCUCAUACCAUAAACAUUUGAGCUCGGGUGUAGAAAAGUACUUUCGACGAUGAAGCUCUUUUUUGUAGUUCGAGACUCCACCAACAAUUAAAUACUUUGGCCAUGGCAGAGGAUCGGACAUGUUGGGAACAUGGUUGAUUAGUCCUUCACCACUCAUUCUUUAGUUUUUGUUAUCCGAGGUUUGCUGGUACACAAAUGGAAAUGAGUGCUACUCCUCUUCAAUCUUCUAUACUGGAUUUAGCCUUGCGCUUACCCAAUGUUUUCCCAUUUGUAUCUUCAACGAUUUCACAUGAAACUACAAGUCCCGACUUUCACAUACCUCAUUAGUGCCAUCAUCCUCGGAGGUACUCCCUUUAUAACUUAAUAUAAGACGUUUUAUGAUACUUUCCUAAACUCUAAACAUGACUUAUAGAAAGUUACAAAGGGAGUAUUUGAUGUCUCUUCAAAAAUGGAGGUUGCUGCCCCACCAACGUGAAUAUUUUCAAACAUGACAUCUAUCUCCUUCAAGUUAGCUAGCCUCGUGUUCCUCCACUAUGUCACACUAAAAACUUUAAAGAGUUGAUUUUAAUUUUGUUUUAAACUAUGUCGUAACAUGGUCUUCCACGGAUGCCAUCACCUCGAUUGUUCCCAAUUGAUCAUUCCAACCAAGCCCAGCUGCAACAUUUGAACAUCAUGGUCAGGGGCUAAAUUCCAGUUGCAACAUUUCAACACCGUUUUCAAGGCCUAACUAAGGAUUGUUAACCUCAACAUAAAUCAAUGGGAAGUGAGAACUGAGUGUGAAGCUGAUGGGUCGACAUGGUUUGCAACAAUAAUCAUCAAAGGAAAGCGAAGACAUUUCUCACCAUGCAUCUACUCCCUCCGUUUCCUUUUACUCUGCAUAUAAAUUUAUCCGAAAUCCACCUUUGUAGGUUGACCAACUUUAUAGAAAAAAAUAUAAACAUUCACAAUACAAAAUCAGUAUUUUUAGAUGCAUCAUGAAAUUAAAUUUCAUACUGUAUAGCUUCAGUAUUGUAGAUGUUGAUAUUUUUAAAUAUAAAUUUGGUCAACCUUUAUGUGGUUUGACUUUAAACAAAUCUUAUAUGUGGAGUAAAAAGAAACGAAGGAAGUAUAUUUAGAACAAAAGAAGUGGGUGUGUUGUUCAUGGAACCUCAAUCUGGUCACCAAUCAUCUAGCGAGCAUAUAAAUGUGAUUAAACUAUACUGCUCUUGUUCUCCUAGUUUUGGGAUGAAAUUAAACUCUUAAAAUUUUAUCUUAAUUAAUAAAUAAAGUAAAAAAUUACCAUUUUUGCAACAAUAGAGUCAUUUCUACGUUUUGACGGUACUUUGAUCCCAGAUUGUAAACAUGUUUUCAUUUCUUUUCNGUUUCAGCCUGAAAUUAGUGGGCUUGGGAUGUGGGCGCUGUGGGCAGUCCACGUCCACUUGGAGUCUGAGUUUCAGGCGUGCAUGGGCACUGAACCAUGCACCGGGUUGCUAUAGCAUGGGGGCAAUGCAGAGGAAAACCUGAACUGAAAUUGUGUUGUGGGUAUGGUUUCCCUCCCUCCCAGUCCUUGAUGAGUUUGUACAUGUGCUAUGGACUUUUGGCGCACGCGGGACCGGCAUAUACGCCCAGCACAAGAGAUGAGCUUCUAUAGUUCUACACUAGCAAAAGUAUAUGGCAAAUAUGCAUAUUUUUACGUAUGCAUAAAGUACAGUGGUACAAGAAGAACAAAAGAGGCUUCCUUCAAAAACGACAAGAACAUAGCAACAACGUGUGUGUUCUUUUGGACUCCCUCCGUUCCUAAAUAUAAGUCUUUUGAGCGAUUUCAAUAGGUGUCUACAUACGGAGCAAAAUGAUUAAAUGUACACUCUAAAGUAUGUCUAUAUACAUUCGUAUGUAGUCCACUAGUGAAAUCUCUUUAAAGACUUAUAUUUAGGAUCGGAGGGAGUACAUAUGUUGAGAAUGUCACAUAGACAAAAGACUGAUGUGACAAAGCAAUUAAAAGAAGAAAGAUCAUUUUAAUGACCUAAGAAGAAACAAUGUUAAUCACAUGGACCUAUGUAAAACAGCUACACAUAGUACAAGAGUUUAGUUGCCAAACUGUUUAACGAAGGAAGCUUAGCUAUAAAAAUCUAACCAUUUAUGAAAUUUAAAUCUACUUCCUCCGUCUUAUAACAUGUAACUCCUCCGUUUUAUACAAGAUGAACGUCUUAUAAUGGUCCCUUUUAUACACUUUAGCAUCUCAUUUGAACAUGUAACUCCUCCCUUUGCGAAUGAGUGUACUUCUAACUUUUGUUUUAAGAUAAGAAUUUAAAAUUCUGACCAACUCCAUAGAAAAGCGUGACAUAUAUGACAUCAAAUUGAUAUAUUAUGCACCCGUUGAGGAGAUUCGUAGAAUGACCGACCUUGCUGCUAGGGAGAUUACUUUUAUCCAUUAUAGUCGUUCUAGAACAUCGUUAGUCACGAGUUGGCCGCCUAUGACCGCAAUAUCCCACGCGCAACAGUCCGGAUUACGGUUAAGAUGGACUUUGUUGUAAACCUGGCUGAGGUUGAGAAGCCUCAGUAAUGAAAAUUUCAUUUCCACCUGUAAUUAUUUUUUCAAAAUAUUAUGAAAGUAAAUUUCAAAACGGAUAUAGGGAUACUAAUUUCGUGUCAUAAAUGCUGCUACUUUUUUUUCAUAAAGUUGGUCAAAAUUUUAAAAUUUUGACCUAGAACAAAAGUUAGAAAUACAUUUUUUUAAAAAUAAAGUUAGAAAUACACCUAUUCGUGAAGGGAGAGAGUAUGCACUAGACCAGGGCUCGUGAUUUACAAGUCUUUGGACCCGUUCGCCUGCCUGGCCCACGCGCAGAGGAACGAGAUAGUGGACCGGACCAUACGCCAGCCUGGCCCACCAUCGAAUGAACCGCUCCGAGCACUAGCCACAGCCGGAACCAAUUCGAGCAAGCUUUUAAACUCGAGGCCAGCGCAGAGCCGCGGACUUGCUAUCCACGCGACAUCGCCCCUGCAAAUUCUCGCCGUCUCGGAUUCUUGGCCACCAAGCUCACACACACGCAGCCCUCUCUGGAUCCGCCCGCCGGCCGGCAACUCCCGCGGCGUCUCUCCUCUCCCUAGACCACCGACCCCUUCCCCGAUGGAUCCAUUCCCCGUCUUCGGACGCGACAGAUCCCCCUCGUCGCCGGACUACCCGCCCCGCCCGGGGNNN